rnacentral:ncRNA from 1 species
ACGGUGCGCUAGGGGAGCGAGUAGCUGAGAGGCGGGAUCAAGCCCACCAACCCUUCGAACCUGAUCUCGGGAAGCCGCACAUAGCAUGCGUUCAUGCCUGGAGCGGAAGACGAGCGUAGGGAAUGCGACCGACAUCGAUG